CGCCGAGGCUCCGCCCCGCACCUGAUUGGCCUCGAGAACCCAAGGAGGCGGUGGGUUAUCUCAGCGCGGCACAAAGGAGGCGCAUUGAGAAAGGGGAGGGGUUGUCAGCGACUUCGAGAGUCUCUGCAUACUCUCCUCCAACAAACAACCAGAUAUCUAGGAAAUAAAAGGAUGCCCAGUGGAGAAAGUCCCCUGGCUCCUCCUGAAUCUCAUGCAAAAGGCUGGAACUCUCAAUCCCUGACAGCUUCUGGAUCCUUCCUUCAGCAUCAAACUGCAAGAUGGCAGCCUUCUGGCUAGACUACAACCAGUCUCAGUGAUGUGUACAUGUGUGCUAAGUCGCUUCAGCCAUCUCCUGAAUUGUACUUCAGGUUUAAGUAUUGCAUCGGGCAUUUGGUGAGUAGCUUAAUAUUCCAUGCGGUUAGUGGGAUUUCUAGCAGGAGCCCCUGAGGCCCUGUCAGGAGGUUUGUUCUUUGAUAUGCCUUCUUCCACUAUCAAGUUUCACUAAUAUCUUUACUGUGCAAGAAGGAAGUCUUUGGUUCUU
rnacentral:lncRNA from 1 species